rnacentral:rRNA from 1 species
AGGACUUCCGCAUGGACGAAGUCUGACGGAGCACGCCGCGUGAGUGAUGAAGGUUUUCGGAUCGUAAAGCUCUGUUGUUAGGGAAGAACAAGUACCGUUCGAAUAGGGCGGUACCUUGACGGUACCUAACCAGAAAGCCACGGCUAACUACGUGCCAGCAGCCGCGGUAAUACGUAGGUGGCAAGCGUUGUCCGGAAUUAUUGGGCGUAAAGGGCUCGCAGGCGGUUUCUUAAGUCUGAUGUGAAAGCCCCCGGCUCAACCGGGGAGGGUCAUUGGAAACUGGGGAACUUGAGUGCAGAAGAGGAGAGUGGAAUUCCACGUGUAGCGGUGAAAUGCGUAGAGAUGUGGAGGAACACCAGUGGCGAAGGCGACUCUCUGGUCUGUAACUGACGCUGAGGAGCGAAAGCGUGGGGAGCGAACAGGAUUAGAUACCCUGGUAGUCCACGCCGUAAACGAUGAGUGCUAAGUGUUAGGGGGUUUCCGCCCCUUAGUGCUGCAGCUAACGCAUUAAGCACUCCGCCUGGGGAGUACGGUCGCAAGACUGAAACUCAAANGAAUUGACGGGGGCCCGCACAAACGGUGGANCAUGUGGUUUAUUC